UAGAGUUUGAUCAUGGCUCAGGAUGAACGCUAGCGACAGGCUUAACACAUGCAAGUCGAGGGGCAGCGGGGAGGUAGCAAUACUCCCGCCGGCGACCGGCGCACGGGUGAGUAACACGUAUGGAACCUGCCCGUAGCAGGGGGAUAAGCGGAAGAAAUUCCGUCUAAUACCGCGUAAUAACUCCGAGAGGCAUCUCAUGGAGUUUAAAGGGUAAUACCGGCUACGGAUGGCCAUGCGGCGCAUUAGCUAGUUGGCGGGGUAACGGCCCACCAAGGCGACGAUGCGUAGGGGUUCUGAGAGGAAGGUCCCCCACACUGGUACUGAGACACGGACCAGACUCCUACGGGAGGCAGCAGUGAGGAAUAUUGGUCAAUGGGCGCGAGCCUGAACCAGCCAAGUCGCGUGAGGGAAGACGGUCCUAUGGAUUGUAAACCUCUUUUGUCGGGGAGCAAAAGGCGCCACGUGUGGCGUUCCGAGAGUACCCGAAGAAAAAGCAUCGGCUAACUCCGUGCCAGCAGCCGCGGUAAUACGGAGGAUGCGAGCGUUAUCCGGAUUUAUUGGGUUUAAAGGGUGCGCAGGCGGAAGAUCAAGUCAGCGGUAAAAUUGAGAGGCUCAACCUCUUCGAGCCGUUGAAACUGGUUUUCUUGAGUGAGCGAGAAGUAUGCGGAAUGCGUGGUGUAGCGGUGAAAUGCAUAGAUAUCACGCAGAACUCCGAUUGCGAAGGCAGCAUACCGGCGCUCAACUGACGCUCAUGCACGAAAGUGUGGGUAUCGAACAGGAUUAGAUACCCUGGUAGUCCACACAGUAAACGAUGAAUACUAAUUGUUCGGGGAGAAUGAUCCCUGAGUGAUACAGCGAAAGCGUUAAGUAUUCCACCUGGGGAGUACGCCGGCAACGGUGAAACUCAAA
rnacentral:rRNA from 1 species